GCUGUCCCUGGAGAAGGGCUGGUCCAGGCGGCAAGGCCUCAGGUCUUUGGGGAACUUUGGACAACGGUUUUGACUCAUUUUCAAUCGUUAUUUCUUCCUGAAGAGGAUCAAGCUGCCAAAGAUGGUUCAGCCAGGUCCCACUCGAGAGUGCAGUCAUACAGAUUGAGGUGGUGCUGGGCCGGAGCGGAGCACUAACUACGUCCCGCGUGGCCCUAGGACGGCUGCCGGCCCCGCUGGAGCCCAGUGAGGGACUCCACUGCUGCCUC